rnacentral:rRNA from 1 species
UACAGAGGUCCCAAGCGUUGUUCGGAUUCACUGGGCGUAAAGGGUGCGCAGGUGGUCGGGUAAGUCUGAUGUGAAAUCCCGCAGCUUAACUGCGGAAUGGCAUUGGAUACUAUUCGGCUAGAGGGUUGGAGGGGGGACUGGAAUUCUCGGUGUAGCAGUGAAAUGCGUAGAUAUCGAGAGGAACACCAGUGGCGAAGGCGAGUCCCUGGACAGCUCCUGACGCUGAGGCACGAAAGCUAGGGGAGCAAACAGG